AGCGUGCCAUCGGCAUCCUGAAAUGCAGAUGGCGUGCUCUGGAUGCCUCGGGUGGCAGACUUUUAUACCAUCCAGCAAAAGUGUGCAAGAUUGUCAGGGCGUGUGGUGUUUUGCACAAUAUAGCACUGAGAAACGGUAUUCCUCUCCCUCCUGAUCUCCCUCUACCCCAGCAUUACGACCCCGAGCCACAGCCCCCUGGCCGACAAGAGGGAUAUCAACGAGGUGCAAGAAUCCGUGAGGAUGUCAUGCGGCGUUUGUAAAGAAAGACAAAACUCAAGGACUGCGUCAGUGAGUACCCGACCACUUUUGGACGUGCCAGACGCAGAAGGGGCACUGCUUUGAGCCGGACGCUGUGCAUCUGCAUCUGAGAACCCCUCACCCUGAACCUCCUGUUCAUUUACAGCUUCAGACUCCGGAAGGACUGGAGGACAAACAAUUGGCAACAUUUAUCCAUUUAUCACCCCACACACUCAAAUGUACAGCGUUAAUGAUUAAAAAUCGGUUUAACCUUG